GAUAGAGGUUGCGUUUUUCAUAAGUACCGGUUCUGAUGUGACAGGCACAGAGGAGGAAGCGGGAAAGGGGACGACGCCGAAAGAGGAGAUGACCUGUGAUUCGAUUCUUGGGGAUGCAUCGAAGAGGUGUAUAACUGUCAUCUGACAAGAUGGGGCGCUAUCAGU
rnacentral:ncRNA from 1 species